GAUGUCUUUAGCAAAGAACUCCAACUUGAUACCAAGGUGUUUUACUUUGAUGUAGGAGAGAAUAGGCGAGGGCGCUUUCUGAAGGUCUCUGAAGCAUCUGUUAGCAGGAACCGUAGUACCAUUAUUGUUCCAGCAGGAAGUGCCCGGGAUGAGGGAUGGGCAGCAUUUAGGAAUAUUUUGGCAGAGAUUAACGAAGCCUCAAGGCUAUUUAUUUCGCCCAAUCAGCAGAGUUUGGAAACCUCAGAGCGUCUUGGGCUUUCAGAUGAUGUAGGAGCUGGUUUUAUAUCCAGUCACUCUUCUCAAUCUGCUCCCACAGCUGAUUUGACUAUUGAACGGACCAUUGAUUUGCCAGCAGCUGACGAAGUUAGUGACGUGGGGGUCUCCAAAGUAAUCAGGGUUGACCAGAAGAGGUUCUUCUUUGAUCUUGGGAAUAACAAUCGGGGCCAUUUCUUACGAAUAUCGGAGGUAGCAGGUUCUGACCGCUCUUCAAUAAUUCUUCCCCUUUCUGGCCUGAAACAAUUUUAUGACAUGGUGGGUCACUUUGUAGAGAUAAGCAAAGAUCGCCUCGAAGGAAUUACAGGUGCAAAUGUUCGGACAAUUGACUCCCCACAGAGAUGACUGGUUGUCUAAGGCGUGGAGCCAUGUACUGCAGAUAAUGGGCAGACGAGUGUUAUUCCUAUGUUAAUUUUCUGCCUGGUCAUUGUGUGUUUCAAGUUGAAUAAAAUGGUAUCACUGUUAUAAACUGGAAAUAUAAAGUCAAAUGUCAAUCAUCAAUAGGAGGGGGGAAUAAGAGAAUAAGCCAUUAUGUUAGGUGAAGGAUUAUAGCAUAAAAUGGCACACUCGUAUUUAAUUUCCUCUUUGCUUUUUUAGGUGUGAUUUAAGCUUCUUCUAUGUGUGAGAAACUCUCCGCUAUGGCUUGGGCUAAACAUAAUCCUAGGUUGCUGCUAAGUU
rnacentral:misc_RNA from 1 species